rnacentral:rRNA from 1 species
AUUGAACGCUGGCGGCAUGCCUUACACAUGCAAGUCGAACGGCAGCGGACCUUCGGGUGCCGGCGAGUGGCGAACGGGUGAGUAAUAUAUCGGAACGUACCUUUCAGUGGGGGAUAACGUAGCGAAAGUUACGCUAAUACCGCAUAUUCUGUGAGCAGGAAAGCAGGGGGAUCGCAAGACCUUGCGCUGAUUGAGCGGCCGAUAUCAGAUUAGCUAGUUGGUGAGGUAAAGGCUCACCAAGGCGACGAUCUGUAGCGGGUCUGAGAGGAUGAUCCGCCACACUGGAACUGAGACACGGUCCAGACUCCUACGGGAGGCAGCAGUGGGGAAUUUUGGACAAUGGGCGCAAGCCUGAUCCAGCCAUGCCGCGUGACGUGAAGAAGGCCUUC